rnacentral:hammerhead_ribozyme from 1 species
AUCCAACUGACGAGUCCCAAAUAGGACGAAACGCGCGUCCUGGGU